GUUGUGUUGUAUUUGUGUUUAAUUUUUUCAGCUAGAGUUUAUGCCUGUCUGUAGUGUUUCUGUUUGGCAUAUGCAAGCAGUGUUGAUGUCUGUGUGAUGUAUUGUUGUGUUUAGCAUUUAUUAAUGUGCAUUAUUGUAUGUGUUUGGUAUUUGCAGGUCGUGUUUAUGGCACUGUGUAUAGUAUUUGUGUGUUUUGGUAUUUGCAGGUCGUGUUUAUGGCACUGUGUAUAGUAUUUGUGUGUUUUGGUAUUUGCAGGUCGUGUUUAUGGCACUGUGUAUAGUAUUUGUGUGUUUUGGUAUUUGCAGGUCGUGUUUAUGGCACUGUGUAUAGUAUUUGUGUGUUUGGUAUUUGCAGCUCGUGUUUAUGGCACUGUGUAUAAUAUUUAUGUGCUUGGUAUUUGCAGCUCGUGUUUAUGGCACUGUGUAUAGUAUUUGUGAGAACUUUUUGUCCUGCUUUUGUCAGUCCCUCAGCUUUUGUAGCUUUACCAAUGCCAGCCAACACAAAGCAAUCGUUUCUACUGAAACAUCUCUAAAUUGGAGGUACCCUGUGUGUGUGUGUGUGUGUGUGUGUGUGUGUGUGUGUGUGUGUGUGUGUGUGUGUGUGUUCCGGAAGCACUUCAUUUAGCCUAUUUUGUUUUUGUUUAUAUUCCAAACAGAAUGAUUGCCUGGCGGGGAAUCAGAGCACUCCUGACGUGCUGCCAGUGGAUUUAUGUCUUCUUUCUUCUCCUUCUCUUCCUCUCUUUCUCUUGCUGUUCUGCAUCUCUUACCCUAUUUAAGCUUUUUCAUAGCUAAGUUUGGACAACCUACACCCUUAGCCUCUGAUUUGUAGGCAGUCGCAAUUCACCCUCUAAACAACUCAGCAAACGUCUUUCUUAUUAACACCUUUGUUUAUAUGUAGCAUGUUUCAUUCAUAAACCUCGAAGCAGAAUCGAUCCAAACGCCUACUGAAAAGAUGUGCAGCCCUGCUUGGUGUCCGAAAGUGUUUUGUAAUGUUGCAACACAACUGUGUGAUUUUUUUUUUUUUUUUUUUUUUUUUUUCUUCUCUACUUCAUUCACGCAUACACACAGAGACAGACACAUACCAUC
ensembl:lncRNA